rnacentral:rRNA from 1 species
CCUACGGGAGGCUGCAGUGGGGAAUAUUGGGCAAUGGGCGCAAGCCUGACCCAGCAACGCCGCGUGAAGGAAGAAGGCUUUCGGGUUGUAAACUUCUUUUGUCAGGGACGAAGCAAGUGACGGUACCUGACGAAUAAGCCACGGCUAACUACGUGCCAGCAGCCGCGGUAAUACGUAGGUGGCAAGCGUUAUCCGGAUUUACUGGGUGUAAAGGGCGUGUAGGCGGGACUGCAAGUCAGAUGUGAAAACCACGGGCUCAACCUGUGGCCUGCAUUUGAAACUGUAGUUCUUGAGUACUGGAGAGGCAGACGGAAUUCCUAGUGUAGCGGUGAAAUGCGUAGAUAUUAGGAGGAACACCAGUGGCGAAGGCAGCAUGCCGGCUUCCUACUGACGCUGAAGCACGAAAGCGUGGGGAUCGAACAGGAUUAGAUACCCCUGUAGUC